rnacentral:rRNA from 1 species
CAGCCGCCACGGGAAUACGUAGGGUGCAAGCGUUAAUCGGAAUUACUGGGCGUAAAGCGUGCGCAGGCGGUUAUGUAAGACAGUUGUGAAAUCCCCGGGCUCAACCUGGGAACUGCAUCUGUGACUGCAUAGCUAGAGUACGGUAGAGGGGGAUGGAAUUCCGCGUGUAGCAGUGAAAUGCGUAGAUAUGCGGAGGAACACCGAUGGCGAAGGCAAUCCCCUGGACCUGUACUGACGCUCAUGCACGAAAGCGUGUGGAGCAAACAGGAUUAGAUACCCCCGUAGUCCCUGUCUCUUAUAC